GAUUCUCUAUUAAGGGACAGCCCAUUCACCAUUUCGUCGGUACAUCUACAUUCAGCGAGUACACUGUGGUUCAUGCCGGAUGUGUUGCAAAGAUCAACCCUGAUGCACCACUUGACAAAGUUUGUAUUCUCAGCUGUGGAAUAUGCACAGGUAUAGGAGAUUCCAAUGUUUAGAUAUUUAUAUAUAAUUAGGCUGAGUCUAUGUUUCUCUAAUUCAAUUUGCUUCCAUGCUUUUACAGGUCUUGGUGCUACUAUCAAUGUAGCUAAACCAAAACCCGGUUCAUCUGUUGCUAUCUUUGGCCUUGGAGCUGUUGGGCUUGCGGUAUGUUACUCUUAUACCUUGAGUGUGCAUGCACGUGUUUGUGCGUGUUGCAAAUUGCAAUUAUUAUCGGAAAUGAAAAGAGCCAAUAUUAACUUCUGCCCUUCUCUUAAACCAAAAUUUAGGCUGCUGAAGGAGCCAGGAUAUCUGGUGCAUCAAGAAUCAUUGGAGUUGAUUUAGUUUCCAGCCGAUUUGAAUUAGGUACAGUGCUUUCUUAUUCCAUCAAAUGCUUGUAGAUUCUGGUUAACAUGAAUUCAAUGACUAUUUCUUUUAUUGAUGGCAUUUCUUAUUUUUUUCUUGUUGACAGCUAAGAAGUUUGGGGUAAAUGAGUUUGUAAACCCGAAAGAUCAUAACAAACCUGUUCAACAAGUUAGUUCAUUGACAAUUUAGUAUAUAGUAGUUUAUUAUAUUUCUGUUUUCAAUUUUGAAUUUUAAAGCAUGAUUCUAUGAAUUAUAAUGUUGUUGGUGUGCAGGUAAUUGCUGAAAUGACAAAUGGAGGUGUGGAUCGUGCUGUUGAAUGUACCGGGAGCAUCCAGGCCAUGAUCUCAGCUUUCGAAUGUGUCCACGAUGUAUGCAAAACAAAAUUCAUUUGUUCUAACUUGUUGCUAAAGAAAUUAUAAAGCUUAUUGAGGCUAAAGCUGAACCUUUAUUUGUUUUUCUUAGGGUUGGGGUGUUGCUGUACUUGUUGGAGUGCCAAACAAAGAUGAUGCAUUUAAAACACAUCCUAUGAAUUUGUUGAAUGAAAGGACUCUUAAGGGUACCUUUUAUGGUAACUACAAGCCUCGCACCGAUCUUCCUAAUGUUGUAGAGAAGUACAUGAAAGGGGUAAGUUUUUAUAUCAUAUUUUGAAUUGUGAAGUCUUUUAGGAGAAUUGAUAUUGCAGAAUUAUAUCUUAUCCGUGUGUUGAAGCUAAUUUGAUUUGUUAAUACUGCAGGAGCUGGAACUUGAGAAAUUCAUCACUCACUCAAUCCCAUUUUCAGAGAUUAACAAAGCUUUUGAUUACAUGCUGAAAGGAGAGUCCAUCAGAUGCAUCAUCCGAAUGGAGGAGUAAAACUCUAAAACAAUGAUGUAAUAAUCCCUACUAAGGGACUCAUUUCUCUCCUUGGUUGUUGAGAAAAAAAAUUUCAUAAAUAAUUCUUUUGGAUUAUGAAGUUUGUGAGAAUUUGUGAAGUUUACAUGUAAAGAAUUGUGCUGUUGGGAUUCUCUAAUACAAGAUAAGCUAGAUUUUGAUUUUGUGAUUUUUUAUUGUUGUGGUAUUUUAAGUGAUUUUUACUCUACAAAGGAAAAAGGGUAAACAGUCCAAACAAAACACUAAGAAGAAACCAUACUACCCUCAAAGAUGAUAUACUAUCAGAAAAAUAAACAAAAGGCUGAAAUCUAGAGCCAAACUGUAAGGAGUUUACAAAAUUAUGCAGAUGCUAUCAAAGUAAUUUUCUUCAAUAAUAUUUUGUCGUUUUUUUUCACCAAUUCUCUAUCCCUAUUCAUAGAUGCUAAACAUAACAUAAAUUAGUCUAUUUGGCUUACUGCUAACGAACCAAACAUGAUAUUGAUUCAUAACCAUAAGAUUCCUCCAUAGCAAUAGGCUUCAGCAGGAAUCAAAUUUUGAUUCCUUAACCAUGUAUAUCAAUUCACAUUGGCCUCAACUACUUGUUCUCUAUUUAUUUUACAGAAUCAUCAUACACACUUUAUGCACAUUGUUGAACAAAUUCGUCAUAUUUUUCUAUUAAUAUAAUUUUAUUUUUGUAUUAAUUUACUCACUAGUUUUUUCGUAGUAUUUCUUUAUUGAAGAUUCAACUAAGCUUGGACUUCAUCUUUUUGACCAGCUCAUCGGCACGCUCUUGUAGCCUCCUAAUAUUAGAUGCAAGUCCAUACAAGAGCUCUUGUGCACAUUUUCCCUCGCUAGUCAAUCCUUCUGGCUUCUCCAAUCUCACCGUCCAAUCAAGAACUCUAAUCUAUCAAUGUAGUCACUAAUCAUGUACACACCAAUACAUUGUGUCAAUGCGGAAAAAUGACUGAAGAUGUAUGGGUUCCCACAAUCAUUCAUCAAUUGUCUGUGAAUCUUUAUGUUGUUACUUACUAUCAUUUUUGCUACCGUGUAUGUGGGGUCCACUUCUCGAAGCUUUUCAACAAUUCUCUCGUAUGCAAUCUCAUGGCGUUUCUCAUGCGCAACGAUUGUGUUGCAUAUGUUUGCAAGCACUAGAUCAACACUCUCGAUAGCCACUCGAGCCAUACUUACUACUAUCCAAUACAAAAAUUGCUCGUUUUUUGGAAGGAUGUUUACACAAAUGUAUGGGUUGUUUUCUACGGAAAAUACUUGGUGACAUUGUGUUUUGGCGAUAUUGAUGACUUUAAUGUAUUUAAUCGAUAGAUGAAUGAUUAAAAUAAAUUAUAUUGAUGAUGAUAUAUACAUUCUUAAUGAAUUAUUUAAUUUCUCCCGAUUUUCCUUGCUUUUUUUUUUUAAAAUGGAGAAGAUAUUAAAGUAAAAAAAAAAAAAAAAAAAAUCAAUGCAUGAAAAUUGAAAAGUAAAAGAACAACGAUUAUGGAAAUAUAUUUAUUCUUAAGACAACUUGGUCAUUCAAGAGAUGUUUAUGAUCAUGGCUGUAGUGAUUCUGAACAAUCAUCUCAAGUUUUCUCAUAUUAUUUACAACCCAAUCCAUGUGAAAAAAAAACAUGCCCGAUGGUCAUGCCAAUGUACUAGCUCAUUUUAACAACUCUAAAACAAACAACUUAGAAAAGAAACUUGAGAAAAACGACGCACUCACACUUAUAGGUAAAAAAGAUAUACAUGUAUAAAAGUAAAAUAAAAUAUGUAAAAAAAAAUCACCUUAAUGAAUCAUAUCAAUGAUAUAAUUAAAAAAUCACCUUAAUUGAAAAUUAUUUUUUACAAUAAAACAUCAAAAUUUAGAUAAAAAAAAGUAUUAAGAAUAAGAAGGGAAAAGAAAAGGGGAAAAAGUCAAUAAGACAGAGAGUCGAAAACCAGCUUAUGUUGGUUGGUGGCAAAGUCAAAGCCAAAGGCGCCGGUUGGAAAUAAAACAACAGCAACAGCGGUAUCCCACAAAACCAAACCAAACCAAAGUGGUAUGUAUUUUAAUGUUUCUUGUUUAAAAAAAUUAAAGUACUAUACUAUGUUUGGAAAUAGAAAAUCAUUCGUUUAUUUUCUAUUCCCACUAGUGCAAGUACUAUGCACCUAUAAAGGUCACUGACACGUAGUUAGUUCCAAACACAACACAACACGAGUACUAGUAGCAUUGCAAAGCAACAAACAACUUACUACUCACCCAUUCGAUUCCAUUCUAAAUUUUCUGUUCAUUCAUCAUGUCCAACACUGCUGGUCAGAUCAUCAAGUGUAGAGGUACCAUCUAUUUAUCUCAAAUUUUGUUUUGAUCUUGUUUUCUAGAAUAUUUUAAUCAUCGAUCCAUCCUUUUUUUUUUUUUUUUUUUUUUAUAAGGAUCCUUCCAUUUAAACUGUUUUAUUUUUAUUUUUAUGAUUUCACUGAAUUAUGUGAUUUUCUUAACUGAAUCCCUUGUGUCCGGUGUUUGUACUCGUGUUUCAUAUCAUACUACUUACUAACUGAAUCCCUUGAUUGUGUUUUGGAACCAGCUGCGGUUGCAUGGGAAGCGGGGAAGCCGCUGGUGAUGGAAGAAGUAGAGGUGGCUCCACCGCAGGCCGGUGAAGUCCGUCUCAAGAUACUCUUCACCUCCCUUUGUCACACUGAUGUUUACUUCUGGGAAGCUAAGGUAUUUUUUUGAUUACAUAACACGGCGGGUGCUUAGUUUUCUUACACAAAAGUUAAUUUAUGUAAAAUUCUUCUUAGGUUUUCAUGUUCUGUUUUGCAUUGCAGUGAUUUAAUAUGGUUUUCUUGUUUUCCUUUGUUUCAGGGUCAGACUCCAUUGUUUCCUCGUAUAUUUGGUCAUGAAGCUGGAGGGUAUGAUUCUCUUCUGAACAUUGAAAGUUGAAUCACAUAUUAUAAAUCUUUCUCUUUAUAUAUUAUUGAUUAAAUCUGUUUGAUUAUCUAAUGUGUUAUGUAAUGUGAAUGAAUGUUAUUGAUAAUUGUUGGCCUAAUGUUGAUCAGGAUUGUGGAGAGCAUAGGCGAGGGUGUGACACAUCUAAAACCAGGCGAUCAUGCCCUGCCUGUAUUCACAGGGGAGUGUGGGGACUGUCCACAUUGUAAGUCGGAGGAAAGCAACAUGUGUGAUCUUCUUAGGAUCAACACUGACAGGGGUGUUAUGAUCAAUGACAACCAGUCAAGAUUCUCUCUUAAGGGACAGCCCAUUCACCAUUUCGUCGGUACAUCUACAUUCAGCGAGUACACUGUGGUUCAUGCCGGAUGUGUUGCAAAGAUCAACCCUGAUGCACCACUUGACAAAGUUUGUAUUCU
rnacentral:lncRNA from 1 species